GCCAAUAUUCUAUAUAUAUACAGUGCAUGAGGUGAAAAAAAUUAGAGGCGAAAAAUAUGGUAAAAAUGGAGAUCCGAGGAAAGCAGAAAAAGAGAGCAGAUUUUUUAGGCCAUGAUGGCAGUAAUCAUCAUAAUAUGAUGAUGGAGAUCAUACAUACUAGUAAACCGACAAAGGAAUUAAAAGUUAACAAACAAAACAAAAAACCAUUUUACAUCAGUUAGAAAAGAAAAAUAGAUAGAGUAAUGAUGAAGAAAUAUUUCUAGUAGUAGGGGUGCAGAGGGUACAUAUAUGCUCCUUUCUUCUUUGAAAGCUCAAGUCAACUUUCAUAAUCAUUACACCAAUCUGCUCUUGCAUGCGCAACAACCUCACACUAAUUACCAAAACAAAAUUAAAUCAAAUAAACACACACACACACACAAUACAAAUAAAUUAUACCAGCGUAGCCGACGACCGACAAAGGGCUGAAAUUGUAUUGCAAGGAAUUGAAGCAAGAAAUUGGGGGGAAUGAAGCCUGGUCCGACGCCUAACAUAUGAUCCAUGGAAAUACCGACAUAUUAUAAAAGUAAUAUUCGAUAUAAAUUUAUGCAAAAAGAUGCAUAUAUGUGAGGAUGGAUCUUGUCAUGGCCUCGAGCCAAACAACAUUCCUCUCAAAAAGUAAGCUUCCCAUCUUGUGCUCAACUCCAAUGGAUGAGAAUUAGGGUUUGGAGGGGAGAGGGGGUGUGAGAGAGAGAGAGAGAUGAACAUAGAGAGAGAGAGAAAAGGAGUAGUAGUAGUAUGAGGAGAAAGAGUGGGAGAGAGGGGAAUGAUAAAUAAAGGAAUGGGAGAGAGAGAAGGUGCGUAAAAAAGGACAAACAAGGUCAUAA
rnacentral:lncRNA from 1 species